CUGGCAGGGCUGAGAGGCCUGCUGUUGUGCUGCAGAAGAGGCCAGAAACAUCUCCAGCCAGUCUGCCUGUUGCUGCCUCUGGACUCCUUGCCUACUGCCCCCCUCCCUUUUUCCCAGCGCUGAUGUGAAGAAAGAGCACUGAGUUGAUUUAUUCAGUUCAGCUGAAAAGGAUGACACCCGUGAUCGUUCGUCAGGAAGCC
rnacentral:lncRNA from 11 species